rnacentral:rRNA from 1 species
UACGUAGGGGGCAAGCGUUGUCCGGAUUUACUGGGCGUAAAGAGCGUGUAGGCGGCCACGCAGGUCCGUUGUGAAAACUGGAGGCUCAACCUCCAGACGUCGACGGAAACCGUAUGGCUAGAGUCCGGAAGAGGAGAGUGGAAUUCCUGGUGUAGCGGUGAAAUGCGCAGAUAUCAGGAAGAACACCAAUGGCGAAGGCAGCUCUCUGGGACGGUACUGACGCUGAGACGCGAAAGCGUGGGGAGCGAACAGG